GGGGCAGCAUCCUGAAGCAGAGCAGGGCAGCGGCACCUCAGUCCUGCCCCUGAAACCAUUCUGUUGUUCUGGGCCAGAGAAGCUGUGAUGGGAGAGAAAGAACUGAAGAUUUCGGAAAUGCUUUUGUAACCUUUUAUCCAUUAUUUUGACUCUGAGCAUCUGGCUGCCUUUUAGACAGGCAAAUCUCUCUAGCAAGUGAUUCCUCUGCAGCACCCUUGCAUGAGACGAAGCUGCCUGAAGCCCUUACCAGAAGCAGAUGCUGGCACCUGCUUCUUGUACACCUGACACCUGCAUAACCGUAAACCAAAUAAACCUAUUUUACUUAUACAUUACCCAGACUCAGGUAUUCAUUUAUGGCAACAAUAAAUUGACUAAAAUUAACAACCUAGCCAUGCAGUAGAAAAGAGAAAGAUGUUCCUCCAGAUAUCUGAGGACAUCACUCUUAAGUCCAGUCUUCCACAAAGGUCAAGGCAGUAAAGUUUUGCUUUGUUUUGUUUUAUUUUGUUUUAUUUCCUAUAGCAUAACAAAGAUGAACUUUGCUCCAGAUCCCAAUAACUUUCUCCUUUCCAUCUGCGACCUCAGCAUGGUCUUUACUGUUAAUAUUUCUAUCAGUAUUUUGAUCACAAAGACUUACCCAAUCUCAAAUGAGUUACAGACUUUCUCUCACCUGUUUUUCUUCUGAGAGAUCUGCUGUAAGUCGGAUAGGCUUCCUUUGUGGGUAACCUGACCUUUCUCUCUGGCUGCCCUUAGUAUUUUCUCCUUCAUUUCAACCCUUGUGAAUCUAAUGAUUAUGUGCCUUGGGGUUGCUCUUCUUGAGGAAUAUCUUUGUGGUGUUCUCUGUAUUACCUGGGGUUGAAUAUUGACCUGCUUUGCUAGUUCAGGAAAAUUUUCCUGGAUAAUAUCCUGAAGGGUAUUUUCCAGCUUGGAUUCAUUCUCUCCGUCGCAUUCAGGUACACCUAUCAAACGUAAAUUUGGUUUUUUCACAUAGUCCCACAUUUCUUGGAGAUUUUGCUCAUUCCUUUUUAUCCUUUUAUCUCUAAUCUUGUCUUCUUGUUUUCUUUAAUUAAGUUGGACUUUGACCUCUGUUAUCCUUUCUUCUGCUUGAAUAAUUCGAGCGUUUAAACCUGUGCAUACUUCUCGGAUUUCCUUUAUUGUAUUCUUCAGUUCCAUUAAUUCACUUAUAUUCCUCUCUAAGUUGUCUAUUCUCAAUAGGAUUUUGUCAAACCUUUUUUCAAGGUUCCUAGUUUCUUUACGUUGGGCUACAACAUGUUCUUUUUUUUUUUUUUUUGUUUUUUUUUUUUGUUUGUUUGUUUGUUUUUUUAAUCGCAGUUCUGGAGGCUGGGAAGCCCAAGGUCAAGCACUGUCAAAUCUGUUGUCUGGUGAAAGGCCACUUUCUGGUUCAUAGAUGGCACUGUUUCACUCAUGACCUAAUCACCUCCUAAAGGCCCUACCUCCAAAUAUCCUCACAUUGAAAUUAGGUUAAAAAACACAUGAAUUUUGGGUAGAUACAAACAUUCAGUUCAUACCACCAACACUUAAAACAAAUUUUAAAAAUUAAGGUAGUCUCUUCCUUCUUGGAAUCAUGUAAAUUCCUCAAAAAACAUUUUAUCAUUCAAAAAAGAAAACAAAACAAUUUCAUUCUUAUUACAUAGUUCUGAUCGUUGUGGAUGCUUGUAUUUCUGGAUCAGUGAUAUAAGAAUCAUUCAUUUUAUUGCUUGAUCAAUCCAUAUUUUAGGUUCUUGGUGUUCUAAUGUAUCUGUCAGUCCAUUAUUAAAUAUGAAAUUAAAACAUGACAGGAUGCUAUUUAAAUAUGUAACACUGGUGAAUAUUUUUAAAUAUAAGUUUAACACAAAUGACUUAUGAAUGUUUCUAGAUGAAAUUAGUCAAUACUAUACCCACAGAACUUCAUUUCCCAAUAUGGAAAAUUAAUAUAUCACUAGGUUUCCAAUAUUUCUUUAUAGCUACAUGAAAACAUGUUGACAUCUGAAGAAAAGUACUUUGGGCAUAAUCCCGAAUAUAAUAUUAACAAAUCAAAUAAGUAUAUGUUGUUGAAAACUUAUGAAGUUGGGCUAUAUUUUUAUAUUAUUUACAUUAAUACUUAAAACAACCCUUUUAGGCUAAUAUUGUCUUCAGUUCAAUAUUCUAGAUGAGAAAAUUGAGGCAGAGUGUCAUUGCCAUUUGUCCAGAACUGCACAGAAAAGAACUUGGAUAGGAUCCAUGUCUAUCUCACUCAAAAUUUUGUGCUCUGAUGAACUAAGCUAUAAUACCACCAAAAGCUAUGGAUGUAUGCUAAAAAUAUCACUUAGUAAAAGGGUCUAGAGUGAGAAUCUGAAGGCCUUACUUCUUACAUGUCUCUGCUACUAACUUGUCCUUAGAUAAGUCACCCCAUUACUCAGAAACUAAAAUUCGUACUUGUAUAUAAUUAUGAAAUGAAAUAUAGGCUCCCUGUGUUUCUAUCACAAAACCCUAUGCAUUAAUAUUUUUUUUUCUUUAUAGAAUGUCAACAUUGGAAUAAAACAUGGGUACCAAUAACUACAGUUUUUCUCUGGUUCUAUCUCUAUUCUCCAUGUUGGGAACUCCAACCCCCCUUUAAGUCCUACAAACUAUUUCUUAGAACUUAGGUUGAUAUCUCACUAAUGAUCAGAAUCAAAGCCUCUUGUUGAACAUGUAUAAUUAAUAAUUCCUUUCUUUUUUUACACUUUUUAAUGAUGUUUUCAGCUGGUCAGACUGAUAUGCAGUACUGAGCAUACUAUUCAAGGCCUCUGCCCAAUCUUUGACCUCCAUAAAAUGUGUCUGUCAAAACCAUUACAUUCAUCAACAGCAACAUUGUAUUAUUAUUCCCCAAAAAAGUGUAAGGAUACAGGAUUUUUUGGUGCUGUUUCUUGCUUUAUAUAUAUUUUGGUAGCUUCUUCUCUCUAGGACUUAGUCAAAUAUACAUUAGGGAACUAGAGAACAAUCUGAAUGACAAAAUUAUCUUACUCUCUAAUAUAAGCAAAUUGUUUAUUAACUUGAAUUUUGCAUAUUUUCUUUUCUUAGUGUAAAUUCUUCCUCUAAAUACCCAGGUCAUCCCUGCAAAUAAUCCAAAACAAAUUUCACUGGGCAAGUGCAUUAGCCUGUCUAUAUCAGUGUUAUAUGUACCUUGCUUCUCAAGAGUUUCAUAAGUUAACUGCUAAUCUGCAUUCUGUCACUCUUACAUAGGGAUUCUUAAAUUGUUAUUUGAAUUUGUACAAAUAAACACUAACACAAAUCUAAUCAUGAAAUGCAUUUCAGAUAAUCAGUGCUUCCUUUUAUGUUUCAUGCAGGCUCUCUCUUGGUUCCAUAUGAAGUUUAAAGUGGUCUUUUUCCAGUUCUGUGAAGAAGGUCAUUGGUAGCUUGAUGGGGAUAGUGUUGAAUUUCUAAAUUAUAUUCAUAAUUGCAACCAAGAGAAUAAAAUACCUAGGAAUACAACUAACAAAGGAUGUAAAGGACCUCUUCAAGGAGAAGUACAAACCACUGCUCAAGGAAAUAAGAGGACACAAAGGAAUGGAUGAAAAAACAUUCUAUGCUAAUGGUUAGGAAGAAUUAAUAUUAUGAAAAGGCCAUACAGCCCAAAGUAAUUUAUAGAUUCAAUGCUAUUCCCAUCAAGCUACCAAUGACCUUCCUCACAGAACUGGAAAAAACCACUUCAAACUUCAUAUGGAACCAAAAGAGAGCCCACAUAGCCAAGUCAUACAGCCACUAUAGGAAACAGUCUUGAGGUUUCUCAAAAAACUUAAAAUAGAUCUUUCAUAUGAUCCAUCAAUUCCACUACUGGGUAUGCAGUCAAAAGUAAGGAAAUUAAUACAUCGAAGAGAUAUCUUCUUCAUUCCCAUGUGUACUGUAGCACGAUUCACAAUAACCAUGACUUGGAAUCAACCAAGGUGCCCAUAAAUGGAUGAAUGUAUAAGGAAAAUUUGGUGUGUAUACACAAUGGUAUGCUAUUAAACCAUAAAAAAGAAUGACAUCCUGUAAUUUGCAGCAACAUGGAUAAAACUGCAACUCAUUAUGUUAUAUGAUAUAAACCAAGCACAGUGAGACAAAUAUUGCAAAUUCUCACUCGUAUAUGGGAGCUACCAAAGUAUUCUCAUGAAGAUACACAUUAGUUUGGUAGUUACCAGGAAAGGUAGUGGAGAGGGGGUGAUAAUGAGAGGUUGAUGAAUGAGCAAAAUAUAGUUAGUAGAAGAAAUAAGACCUGGUGUUCGAUGCAUCAGUAAAGUGACUGUAGUUAACAUUAAUCUACUGUACAUUUCAAAAUAGAUAGAAGAAUACAAUUUGGAUGUUUCUAGCAUAAAAAGAUAAAUAUUUAAGGUGAUGGAUAUCCCAAUUAUCCUGAUACAAUUACAGGAAUUUAUCAAAUUAUCACAUGCACCUUGAAAAUAUG
rnacentral:lncRNA from 1 species